AAUGCAUGCGCCCUAUUUCUUUUCUCUCUCCCUUUCUCUCGACUUUCUCAGCCUCACGACAGCGCCGCCUCACUCACUACCUCUCCCUUUUCACUCUCGGAUGGCCAACACAGCAGUGCGACUCCACCUCUCUCUUUCCCUUCUCACCGAUAGUGACGCCGCCGUGAACCUCUCCCUCUCCAACUCAUUUUCAAUCUUUCUCCCUCUAAACCCGUCGGCUUCUUCUCCACUGCCACCGACAGCUAUCAAAUAUUUUUGUGCAAAAAUGGUGCGAACCAAAAAUAUUUCUAGAGAUCAGCAACAGGACACCCGAAAACGACGAAAGUCCACUACAACUGAUGUCGGAACCUCUUCAUGACGUAAAUGGAAAGCUCUUGCUUCGCAGCUUCCUUCAGUGCCAUCUGCAAUAGAAAGCAAGGAUAUUUAUAGAAUCGCAUUUUUAUACGGGAAGGAGCCUCAGAAAUUAGAAAAGAUAUAUUCUUCAUAAAAUCUAAGGAAAAUUUGGCAAUUGAAUCUGAAAAAAGAGUUAAUAUUGCAAGCCCAUUUUAUAAAGCCCAAAUUGAGGACGAUUUGCGAAAGAAUGAAGCCCACAAACGAUGCCUAGAAGGAGAAAAGCCGAAGUCCAACAAGGUGUGAACUUAGGCUAUCACCUAAGGCAUGAAAAAGGAGAAGAAUGGAGAUAGGCUAUCGCCUAAGCCAAAAAAAGGAGGCUAGGAGACCACCCAUGUGCACUAGGCGAUCUCCUAUGCCCAAACUUACACCCAAGCGAUCUCCUAUGCCUAGACUUACACCAAGGCUAUCUCUUACGGCCAAGAGACUACUUAAGCGAUCUCUUAUGGAUAAAACACUACUCCAAAUGAUCUCCUAUGGAUACUAGGCGAUCUCCUAUGUGCCAAAGCCAAAUCAUCCGAUCGCCUACACCAGUUCCAAGGCUAGAAAUUUCCAUUCAUUGAAUGACAACUCAUGCUUAGCUGUAAUCUGAUUGAAUGCAGCCCACUUGCCCCACUUGCCAAAUUGCGUAGAAGAGUAGCUUCCAAGCAUCUGAAAUUCUAUAAAUAGCAGCAUAAAUUGACAGAGAAAGGGGCUAAAAGGUUGAAAAUGUAGGAAUUUUAGAAUAUUACUCUACAAAUAUUUAGCAUAGUUUUAUGUUUGUAAUCUCAGAGGUGAAGAGAGGAAGGUGUGAGCAACAGAGUCUCUAACUAAACAGAAGCCAUACAUGAUCCGUCAUUCUCCUCCGUUAUUAUAUGUUAUUUUUAUGUUCUUUGUUUUAUUAUCGUUUUUAUCAAAAACAACAUUUCUGUAACUCUGUUCUUUUUCCUCAAUAAAAGAUAAGGAUUGCUAUUUGGUUGUUUA